AUCCUCGUGCAGGGGUGCGUGGUAUCGACAGUGAGGUUCACUACCGAGUCAUACCUGUUGCUAGUUGCAAACUAAAUCCCAACCCGUGGUUGUGCCUUUGGGCCUUCCCAAUUUUUGGAUGACCUGAGGA
rnacentral:snRNA from 1 species